rnacentral:lncRNA from 1 species
UUCAUUUGCAACAAGAAAUUCGUUGAUUCCAAUUAAUUUUAUAUCCAAUUAUUUCCUUAUCUGCGCUCAAACAAUUAUGGUUCAACAUUUCUCUGUGUUUAUCGGUUGUGUAUUUGCAACGGAAACAGCCGCUUGUCAGUCGUAUCGAGCCAGUGGCCACAUCACCCGAUAGAAACGACCCCGCUCUGCAACUGGGUGGUUAUGGUGGUGACCAGAACAAAAUCUAUGGACCAGAGUCACGACCGCCAGUCCCAACCGUGCUAAAUCGAAUGGCAUUGGUCAUUUUUAACGAACGGGUUCGAGUCGUUACUUCCCUAGUCUCGAGUUUAUCGUGUUGUUACGCGAUACCUGUUGAGGAGGUCACGUGGUACAGACGCGUAUGGCGAGAAGGAAAGGGUAGUCUCGAACUUCGACACGUAAAUUUUUGCGCGUGCUACCAUUUCACCAUACGUGUUAUCAACACACGUCUUCCAGAGUCGGCGAAAUCUCUACACGUCUGAAAUUUUCAGCUAUAAUGGCGGAUGAAUGCUUUACUCUUUCGGUUAUUGAAAGUUUAGAAAUUGAAGAACGACGUUCUCUAAGACGACAGCGUAUUUCGAAUCAGAGUGGAUGCUUUUGAUAUUCCCAAGGACCAUUUUUGUCGAUUGUUUAAGCUUUCGAAGACUGUAACGAAAGAUCUUAUAGAUGAUCUACCU